rnacentral:rRNA from 1 species
GUCCACGCCCUAAACGAUGUCAACUGGUUGUUGGGUCUCUUCUGACUCAGUAACGAAGCUAACGCGUGAAGUUGACCGCCUGGGGAGUACGGCCGCAAGGUUGAAAACUCAAAAGGAAUUGACGGGGACCCGCACAAGCGGUGGAUGAUGUGGUUUAAUUCGAUGCAACGCGAAAACCUUACCCACCUUUGACAUGUACGGAACUCGCCAGAGAUGGCUUGGUGCUCGAAAGAGAGCCGUAACACAGGUGCUGCAUGGCUGUCGU